UACGGAGGAUCCGAGCGUUAUCCGGAUUUAUUGGGUUUAAAGGGUGCGCAGGCGGGGGAUUAAGUCGGUGGUGAAAUUUUGCGGCUCAACCGUAAGAGUGCCAUUGAUACUGGUUCCCUUGAGUGUAGAUGAAGUAGGCGGAAUUUGUGGUGUAGCGGUGAAAUGCAUAGAUAUCACGAGGAACUCCGAUUGCGCAGGCAGCUUACUAGGCUACUACUGACGCUCAUGCACGAAGGCGUGGGGAUCAAACAGG
rnacentral:rRNA from 1 species